UACGUAGGGUGCGAGCGUUGUCCGGAAUUAUUGGGCGUAAAGGGCUCGUAGGCGGUCUGUCGCGUCGGGAGUGAAAACUCAGGGCUUAACCCUGAGCCUGCUUCCGAUACGGGCAGACUAGAGGUAUGCAGGGGAGAACGGAAUUCCUGGUGUAGCGGUGGAAUGCGCAGAUAUCAGGAGGAACACCGAUGGCGAAGGCAGGUCUCUGGGCCGAUACUGACGCUGAGGAGCGAAAGCGUGGGGAGCGAACAGG
rnacentral:rRNA from 1 species